CCUACGGGAGGCAGCAGUGAGGAAUAUUGGUCAAUGGACGAGAGUCUGAACCAGCCAAGUAGCGUGAAGGAUGACUGCCCUAUGGGUUGUAAACUUCUUUUAUAUGGGAAUGAAAUGUUCCACGUGUGGGAUUUUGUAUGUACCAUAUGAAUAAGGAUCGGCUAACUCCGUGCCAGCAGCCGCGGUAAUACGGAGGAUCCGAGCGUUAUCCGGAUUUAUUGGGUUUAAAGGGAGCGUAGGUGGAUUGUUAAGUCAGUUGUGAAAGUUUGCGGCUCAACCGUAAAAUUGCAGUUGAAACUGGCAGUCUUGAGUACAGUAGAGGUGGGCGGAAUUCGUGGUGUAGCGGUGAAAUGCUUAGAUAUCACGAAGAACUCCGAUUGCGAAGGCAGUUCACUGGACUGCAACUGACACUGAGGCUCGAAAGUGUGGGUAUCAAACAGGAUUAGAUACCCGAGUAGUC
rnacentral:rRNA from 1 species